CUUUUUAUUUUAUUAUUUUUUUUAAGUUUAUAGUUUAUUAAUCCUCUCAUGAAAAAUCUGCACAACCAUCACAGAUACAGUCACCAAAGAAUCUUUACUCCUUUUUGCCAGCACCAACAUUGGCCUUUGCAGUCCCCCUGACUUUCUUCAUUCUGUUCUUGUGUUCCUUUCUGUUUUCUUGAGGUCUUCUUCUUCUCAUAUAGGUCGUGUCUUGCAAGUCUGUGUUUGGGUUCAUUUUUCUUUGCUUUCCAUUCUCUGUUUUCCUGAGGU